rnacentral:rRNA from 1 species
GUGCCAGCAGCCGCGGUAAUACCGGCAGCUCGAGUGAUGUCCAAUAUUAUUGGGCCUAAAGCGUCCGUAGCUGGCCGCGCAAGUCCGUCGGGAAAUCCAUCAGCCCAACUGAUGGGCGUCCGGCGGAAACUGCACGGCUUGGGACCGGAAGACUCGAGAGGUACGUCCGGGGUAGGAGUGAAAUCCCGUAAUCCCGAACGGACCACCGAUGGCGAAAGCACUUCGAGAAAACGGAUCCGACAGUGAGGGACGAAAGCCAGGGUCUCCAACCGGAUUAGAUACCCCGGUAGUCC